AUGCAUCCCAAUUUUUCAGAAAUGAGUGACACUAAGAAUGCGGAUCCCAACUCUGCUAAAGGAUAUAAUGAAGGUCCCCCGGCAAUGGCACCACCUCAAUAUGAUCUUCCACCACCCAAAAGUCAGAGUACUGCAUUCUUUGAGUGCUGUAUUACAGCUCUAUGUUGUUGUUGCGUCUUAGAUGGGUGUUUCUGCGACCCUUCAAUCUUAUGUAUGAGCUGCUGCUAA